rnacentral:rRNA from 1 species
AGGAUGAAGCGUUCCAGCGGCAUGAGCCAUAAGCACACUGCAAGUCGAGGCGGUAGAUAUCAGCUUGCUGAAUUUGAGACCGGCGCACCAUGCGUAACGCGUAUGCAACCUACCUGGCACAGGGGAAUAGCCCGAAGAGACGAGGAUUAAUGCGGUAUAGAUUAUUGACAAGGCAUCUUGUUAAUAUUAAAGUUUUGGCGGUAAGAGAUGGGCAUGCGUUCUAUUAGCUAGUUGGUAUGGUGACUGCAUACCAAGGCGACGAUAGAUAGGGGUCCUGAGAGGGAGAUCCGGUCACUGGUACUGAGACACGGACCAGACUCCUACGGGAGGCAGCAGUGAGGAAUCAAGGACAAUGGGCGGAAGCCUGAUCCAGCCAUGCCUGCAGGAAGACGGCCUUAUGGGUUGUAAACUGCUAGUAUACAGAGAAGAAUAAGGAGUACGUGUAUUUCGAUGACGGUACUGUAUGAAUAAGCAUCGGCUAACUCCGUGCCAGCAGCACUGUAAUACGGAGGAUGCGAGCGUUAUCCGGAAUCAUUGGGAGAAGGUCCGUAGGCGCAAUGUAAGUCAGAGGUGAAAUAACUGGGCUCAACCGAGUGGUUGCCAUUGAAACUGCAUGUCUUGAAUGACAUGAAGUGGCCGGAAUGUGUAGUGUAGCGGUGAAAUGCAUAGAUAUUACACAGAACACCAAUUGCGACUUAAAGUCACUAACAAAUGAUUGACGCUGAUGGACGAAAGCGUACGAGCGAACAGGAUUAGAUACCCUGGUAGUCCACGGAUUAAACGAUGGAUACUAGCUGUUCGAAGCGGAUUGAGUGGCUAAGCGCUAGUGAUAACUAUCCCACCUGGGGAGUACGCACGAGACUGUGAAACUCAAAGGAAUUGACGGCCACCGCACAAGCGUGGAGCAUGUGGUUUAAUUCGAUGAUACGCGAGGAACCUUACCAAGGUUUAAAUGUAGUAUGACAGGGCAAGAGAUUGCUUUCUUCGGACAAUAUUCAAGGUGCUGCAUGGUAUGUAAGCCAGCUCACGCCGUCGAGGUGUCAGGUUAAGUGCAGCAACGAGCGCAACACCUACUGAUAGUUACCAGCAAGUGAAGUUCUAUAUCUACUGGGACUGCCGGUGCAAACCGUGACAAAGGUGCGACUGACGUCAAAUCAUCACGGCCCUUACAUAUAGGCUACACACGUGCUACAAUGGUAGGGACAGAGAGCAGCCACCGGGUGACCGGAGCGAAUCUAUAAACCCUAUCUCAGUUCGGAUCGGAGUCUGCAACUCGACUCCGUGAAGCUGGAAUCGCUAGUAACAUUAUCAGCCAUGAUGCGGUGAAUACGUUCAGCAGCCUUGUACACACCGCCCGUCAAGCCAUGGAAGCCGGGGGUACCUGAAGUCGGUCGCCGAGCUGAGAAGGGUAGUCCUGGUCAACUGAGCGGCUU